AACACUUCCUUCUACAUCGGGCGCCGUCGCCUCAACUGCGCGUGGGGGGCGAGGCGCCCACCCCGCACAAGAACAGAGGAGCGGGGGAGAAGAGACGGCCUCGCUGCUCACUGGGCCCCUUUGUGUGACUAAAUUUGGCAAGAAUAUGGAUCUGAGCCAGUCUUUCCACGUGUGCUCCCAGCUCCCAGCUGAGAAGGCCAAGGGUUCUCUUCCGGGAAAACCAGUUUGGCUAUUAAGGGAACCUGUCGACACAGAGCAGAGCAAGAUAAGGCCAGGUUUCAGAAAGAAUAGCUGUUUACCAUCAAAGCAACUGGGUUCCACACAGACAUGGUAUAUUAUACACAAAGACGAAGGAUAUGGGUCCACUCUCCGUCAAGGAAUGUUAUAAAUCCACGUGGUGUCCCUGGGUGUCAGGCUUGGCCAGAACAUCUGUGGCUGGAGAAGCCAAUGUGGCUCAGGAGCUCCCUGCUGGCUGCACAUCUGAACGGCUUCAGGAGUACAAGUUUCCCCAUCAAAGGUUUGGAAUAAAUUACACUAAAAAAUUGGCUCCAGAACGAGUUAUUUUGGACAGGACAAGGUGAAGCUCUCAUGAGGUGUGUUAAAUGCAUCCCUCUGUGCAGUGGGCAACUGCGGGAGAGCUGGAGGGGGUGGUCAAAGGCUGUGGGGAAAGUGGAGAAACUCUAACCCUGCACACACUUGGACAGAAAUGCCAAAUCUACUGACUGGACAAGAUUUGGGAAAUUCAUUUUUUAAACAAAUGGUUUUACAAAGCUUUAUAACUUAAUUUGAAUAUAUAUCUUAUAAAUAGUCAUC
rnacentral:lncRNA from 1 species